AUUGAACGCUGGCGGCAGGCCUAACACAUGCAAGUCGAACGAGUGGCGGACGGGUGAGUAAUGCCUGGGAAACUGGCUGAUGGAGGGGGAUAACUACGGGAAACGGUAGCUAAUACCGCAUACCAUCGGAUGAGCCCAGGUGGGAUUAGGUAGUGGGUGGGGUAACGGCCUACCUAGGCGACGAUCCCUAGCUGGUCUGAGAGGAUGACCAGCCACACCGGGACUGAGACACGGUCCCGACUCCUACGGGAGGCAGCAGUGGGGAAUAUUGCACAAUGGGCGCAAGCCUGAUGCAGCCAUGCCGCGUGUAUGAAGAAGGCCUUCGGGUUGUAAAGUACUUUCAGCGGGGAGGCGUUACACACAGAAGAAGCACCGGCUAACUCCGUGCCAGCAGCCGCGGUAAUAC
rnacentral:rRNA from 1 species